GACGAACGCUGGCGGCGUGCCUAACACAUGCAAGUCGAGCGGUCCUGCAUUCAACAUUGAGUAUUCAGCAGGCGUUGGAGAUGUAACCAGCGUCAAGCAGAAACGACUAUAUAUUAUAAUUUUUUGAAGUUUCUGCUUCACGCCAAAUCAAGUGCCAACACAAAGGGAGCUGAGUAUUGAAUGUUGAAUGCAGGAUAGCGGCGGACGGGUGAGUAACGCGUGGGCAACCUGCCUCAUACAGGGGGAUAACACAGGGAAACUUGUGCUAAUACCGCAUAAUAUCAUUGGGUGGCAUCACCUGAUGAUCAAAGGAGCAAUCCGGUAUGAGAUGGGCCCGCGUCCGAUUAGCUAGUUGGUGAGGUAACGGCUCACCAAGGCGACGAUCGGUAGCCGAACUGAGAGGUUGAUCGGCCACAUUGGGACUGAGACACGGCCCAGACUCCUACGGGAGGCAGGCAGUGGGGAAU
rnacentral:rRNA from 1 species